rnacentral:rRNA from 1 species
CAGUCGCCGCGGUAAGACAGAGGAUGCAAGCGUUAUCCGGAAUGAUUGGGCGUAAAGCGUCUGUAGGUGGCUUUUCAAGUCCGCCGUCAAAUCCCAGGGCUCAACCCUGGACAGGCGGUGGAAACUACCAAGCUGGAGUACGGUAGGGGCAGAGGGAAUUUCCGGUGGAGCGGUGAAAUGCGUAGAUAUAUGGAGGAACACCAGUGGCGAAGGCGACUCUCUGGUCUGUAACUGACGCUGAGGCUCGAAAGCGUGGGGAGCAAACAGGAUUAGAUACCCCCGUAGUCCCUGUCUCUUAUAC